rnacentral:rRNA from 1 species
AGAGUUUGAUCAUGGCUCAGAUUGAACGCCGGCGGCAUGCCUUACACAUGCAAGUCGAACGGUAACAGGUCUUCGGAUGCUGACGAGUGGCGAACGGGUGAGUAAUACAUCGGAACGUGCCCGAUCGUGGGGGAUAACGAAGCGAAAGCUUUGCUAAUACCGCAUAAGAUCUACGGAUGAAAGCAGGGGACCGCAAGGCCUUGCGCGAACGGAGCGGCCGAUGGCAGAUUAGGUAGUUGGUGGGAUAAAAGCUUACCAAGCCGACGAUCUGUAGCUGGUCUGAGAGGACGACCAGCCACACUGGGACUGAGACACGGCCCAGACUCCUACGGGAGGCAGCAGUGGGGAAUUUUGGACAAUGGGCGAAAGCCUGAUCCAGCCAUGCCGCGUGCAGGAUGAAGGCCUUCGGGUUGUAAACUGCUUUUGUACGGAACGAAAAGACUCUUUCUAAUAAAGGGGGUCCAUGACGGUACCGUAAGAAUAAGCACCGGCUAACUACGUGCCAGCAGCCGCGGUAAUACGUAGGGUGCAAGCGUUAAUCGGAAUUACUGGGCGUAAAGCGUGCGCAGGCGGUUAUGUAAGACAGAUGUGAAAUCCCCGGGCUCAACCUGGGAACUGCAUUUGUGACUGCAUAGCUAGAGUACGGCAGAGGGGGAUGGAAUUCCGCGUGUAGCAGUGAAAUGCGUAGAUAUGCGGAGGAACACCGAUGGCGAAGGCAAUCCCCUGGGCCUGUACUGACGCUCAUGCACGA